AUUGAACGCUGGCGGCAGGCCUAACACAUGCGAGUCGAGCGGAUGAAGGGAGCUUGCUCCUGGAUUCAGCGGCGGACGGGUGAGUAAUGCCUAGGAAUCUGCCUGGUAGUGGGGGAUAACGUCCGGAAACGGGCGCCAAUACCGCAUACGUCCUGAGGGAGAAAGUGGGGGAUCUUCGGACCUCACGCUAUCAGAUGAGCCUAGGUCGGAUUAGCUAGUUGGUGGGGUAAAGGCCUACCAAGGCGACGAUCCGUAACUGGUCUGAGAGGAUGAUCAGUCACACUGGAACUGAGACACGGUCCAGACUCCUACGGGAGGCAGCAGUGGGGAAUAUUGGACAAUGGGCGAAAGCCUGAUCCAGCCAUGCCGCGUGUGUGAAGAAGGUCUUCGGAUUGUAAAGCACUUUAAGUUGGGAGGAAGGGCAGUAAGUUAAUACCUUGCUGUUUUGACGUUACCAACAGAAUAAGCACCGGCUAACUUCGUG
rnacentral:rRNA from 1 species